CCGGUUGAUCCUGCCGGACCCCACUGCUACCGGGAUAGGACUAAGACAUGCCAGUCGUGUGCCUUCAGCCAAAACGAGGCACGGCGCACAGCUCAGUAACACGUGGCUAACCUGCCCUUAGGACGAGAAUAACCCCCGGGAAACUGGGGCUAUGCUCGAUAGGUGAAGAACUCUGGAAUGAGUCUUCACUUAAAAGAGUCUGCGUUAUGCUCGUAGAUUUCGCUUAAGGAUGGGGCCGCGACCGAUCAGGUUGUUGGUGAGGUAAUGGCUCACCAAGCCUUUUACCGGUGCGGGCCGUGAGAGCGGGAGCCCGGAGAUGGGCACUGAGACAAGGGCCCAGGCCCUACGGGGCGCAGCAGUCGCGAAAACUUUGCAAUACACGAAAGUGUGACAGGGCUAUCCCGAGUGCCAUCCGCUGAGGAAGGCUUUUACCCAGUCUAGAACGCUGGGGGAAUAAGGAGAGGGCAAGUCUGGUGUCAGCCGCCGCGGUAAUACCAGCUCUCCGAGUGGUGUGGAUGUUUAUUGGGCCUAAAGCAUCCGUAGCUGGCUAAGUUAGUCCCCUGUUAAAUCCAACGAAUUAAUCGUUGGAUCGCGGGGGAUACUGCUUGGCUAGGGGACGAGAGAGGCAGACGAUAUUUCCGGGGUAGGGGUGAAAUCCUAUAAUCCCGGGAAGACCACCAGUGGCGAAGGCUGUCUGCUAGAACGCGCCCGACGGUGAGGGAUGAAAGCUGGGGGAGCGAACCGGAUUAGAUACCCGGGUAGUCCCAGCUGUAAACGAUGCAGGCUAGGUGUUUUGGACGGCCACGUGCCGUUCUAGUGCCGCAGGGAAAGCUGUUAAGCCUGCCGCCUGGGGAGUACGAUCGCAGGAUUGAAACUUAAAGGAAUUGGCGGGGGAGCACCACAAGGGGUGAAGCUUGCGGUUUAAUUGGAUUCAACGCCGGG
rnacentral:rRNA from 1 species